rnacentral:rRNA from 1 species
GGGUUGUGAGGUUAAGCGACUAAGCGUACACGGUGGAUGCCCUGGCAGUCAGAGGCGAUGAAGGACGUGCUAAUCUGCGAAAAGCGUCGGUAAGGUGAUAUGAACCGUUAUAACCGGCGAUGUCCGAAUGGGGAAACCCAGUGUGAUUCGUCACACUAUCGUUAACUGAAUACAUAGGUUAACGAGGCGAACCGGGGGAACUGAAACAUCUAAGUACCCCGAGGAAAAGAAAUCAACCGAGAUUCCCCCAGUAGCGGCGAGCGAACGGGGAGCAGCCCAGAGUCUGAAUCAGCUUGUGUGUUAGUGGAACGGUCUGGAAAGUCCGACGGUACAGGGUGAUAGUCCCGUACACCAAAAUGCACAGGCUGUGAACUCGAAGAGUAGGGCGGGACACGUGGUAUCCUGUCUGAAUAUGGGGGGACCAUCCUCCAAGGCUAAAUACUCCUGACUGACCGAUAGUGAACCAGUACCGUGAGGGAAAGGCGAAAAGAACCCCGGCGAGGGGAGUGAAAAAGAACCUGAAACCGUGUACGUACAAGCAGUGGGAGCACCUUUAUGGUGUGACUGCGUACCUUUUGUAUAAUGGGUCAGCGACUUAUAUUCUGUAGCAAGGUUAACCGUAUAGGGGAGCCGCAGGGAAACCGAGUCUUAACUGGGCGUUAAGUUGCAGGGUAUAGACCCGAAACCCGGUGAUCUAGCCAUGGGCAGGUUGAAGGUUGGGUAACACUAACUGGAGGACCGAACCGACUAAUGUUGAAAAAUUAGCGGAUGACUUGUGGCUGGGGGUGAAAGGCCAAUCAAACCGGGAGAUAGCUGGUUCUCCCCGAAAGCUAUUUAGGUAGCGCCUCGUGAAUUCAUCUUCGGGGGUAGAGCACUGUUUCGGCUAGGGGGUCAUCCCGACUUACCAACCCGAUGCAAACUACGAAUACCGAAGAAUGUUAUCACGGGAGACACACGGCGGGUGCUAACGUCCGUCGUGAAGAGGGAAACAACCCAGACCGCCAGCUAAGGUCCCAAAGUCAUGGUUAAGUGGGAAACGAUGUGGGAAGGCACAGACAGCCAGGAUGUUGGCUUAGAAGCAGCCAUCAUUUAAAGAAAGCGUAAUAGCUCACUGGUCGAGUCGGCCUGCGCGGAAGAUGUAACGGGGCUAAACCAUGCACCGAAGCUGCGGCAGCGACACUAUGUGUUGUUGGGUAGGGGAGCGUUCUGUAAGCCUGCGAAGGUGACCUGUGAGGGUUGCUGGAGGUAUCAGAAGUGCGAAUGCUGACAUAAGUAACGAUAAAGCGGGUGAAAAGCCCGCUCGCCGGAAGACCAAGGGUUCCUGUCCAACGUUAAUCGGGGCAGGGUGAGUCGACCCCUAAGGCGAGGCCGAAAGGCGUAGUCGAUGGGAAACAGGUUAAUAUUCCUGUACUUGGUGUUACUGCGAAGGGGGGACGGAGAAGGCUAUGUUAGCCGGGCGACGGUUGUCCCGGUUUAAGCAUGUAGGCUGGUUAUCCAGGCAAAUCCGGAUAAUCAAGGCUGAGGUGUGAUGACGAGGCACUACGGUGCUGAAGUAACAAAUGCCCUGCUUCCAGGAAAAGCCUCUAAGCAUCAGGUAACAUCAAAUCGUACCCCAAACCGACACAGGUGGUCAGGUAGAGAAUACCAAGGCGCUUGAGAGAACUCGGGUGAAGGAACUAGGCAAAAUGGUGCCGUAACUUCGGGAGAAGGCACGCUGGUGUGUAGGUGAAGUCCCUGCGGAUGGAGCUGAGACCAGUCGAAGAUACCAGCUGGCUGCAACUGUUUAUUAAAAACACAGCACUGUGCAAACACGAAAGUGGACGUAUACGGUGUGACGCCUGCCCGGUGCCGGAAGGUUAAUUGAUGGGGUUAUCCGUAAGGAGAAGCUCUUGAUCGAAGCCCCGGUAAACGGCGGCCGUAACUAUAACGGUCCUAAGGUAGCGAAAUUCCUUGUCGGGUAAGUUCCGACCUGCACGAAUGGCGUAAUGAUGGCCAGGCUGUCUCCACCCGAGACUCAGUGAAAUUGAACUCGCUGUGAAGAUGCAGUGUACCCGCGGCAAGACGGAAAGACCCCGUGAACCUUUACUAUAGCUUGACACUGAACAUUGAGCCUUGAUGUGUAGGAUAGGUGGGAGGCUUUGAAGCGUGGACGCCAGUCUGCGUGGAGCCAACCUUGAAAUACCACCCUUUAAUGUUUGAUGUUCUAACGUUGGCCCCUUAUCGGGGUUGCGGACAGUGUCUGGUGGGUAGUUUGACUGGGGCGGUCUCCUCCCAAAGCGUAACGGAGGAGCACGAAGGUUAGCUAAUCCUGGUCGGACAUCAGGAGGUUAGUGCAAUGGCAUAAGCUAGCUUGACUGCGAGCGUGACGGCGCGAGCAGGUGCGAAAGCAGGUCAUAGUGAUCCGGUGGUUCUGAAUGGAAGGGCCAUCGCUCAACGGAUAAAAGGUACUCCGGGGAUAACAGGCUGAUACCGCCCAAGAGUUCAUAUCGACGGCGGUGUUUGGCACCUCGAUGUCGGCUCAUCACAUCCUGGGGCUGAAGUAGGUCCCAAGGGUAUGGCUGUUCGCCAUUUAAAGUGGUACGCGAGCUGGGUUUAGAACGUCGUGAGACAGUUCGGUCCCUAUCUGCCGUGGGCGCUGGAGAAUUGAGGGGGGCUGCUCCUAGUACGAGAGGACCGGAGUGGACGCAUCACUGGUGUUCGGGUUGUCAUGCCAAUGGCACUGCCCGGUAGCUAAAUGCGGAAGAGAUAAGUGCUGAAAGCAUCUAAGCACGAAACUUGCCCCGAGAUGAGUUCUCCCUGAGACUAUAAGUCUCCUGAAGGAACGUUAAAGACGAUGACGUUGAUAGGCCGGGUGUGUAAGCGCAGCGAUGCGUUGAGCUAACCGGUACUAAUGAACCGUGAGGCUUAACCUUACAACGCCGAAG